rnacentral:rRNA from 1 species
AAACUUAACCUUUUCUCAUUGAUGGGGAAAGAAUAAACAUAUUUUAGACCGCGCCUCACGAAAACUUCAAAAGGAAUCAGGAUAAAAUUCCUAAACCGGAACGCGGUGGUUGACAGCAUCGUUAGUGAGAGACGUCAACGGAGGCCUCGGGAAGAGUUAAUCUUUCUGUUUAACACCCCGCUACCUUGGAAACAGCUCAGCUAGAGGUAGAAUCUAAAGACUGGAAGAGCACCGCACAUGCGUGGUGUCUAGUGGGCCUCCGGUUAACUUUUCUGUUUAACAGCUCACCCAUCCUAGAAACGGCUCAGCUAGAGGUAGGGUCCAAGGACUGGAAGAGCACCGCACAACACGUGGUGUCUAGUAGGCCCCAGUGGCCGUUGAAAAUCCGAAGACAAUUCUGUCUCUCGCAUUCAGUU